ACUUUGCUGACGUGUGCCAGGUAGCACGAAACCCGGGUCCAGAGU
rnacentral:hammerhead_ribozyme from 1 species